GCCUGAGUGGCUCAGUCAGUUGAGCGUCCGACUUUGGCUCAGGUCAUCAUCUCAGGGUCAGUGAGUUCGAGUCCCGCAUCAGGCU
rnacentral:tRNA from 1 species